ACAGCUCCUUCACAUCUGAAUCCUUCAGGUCCCAGUUUUCACUCAGGUCCAGUUCUCUCAGAUGGGAGGGGUUGGACUUCAGAGCUGAGACCAGAGAAGAACAGCUGAUCUCUGACAAACUGCAGAGACUCAACCUGAAUAAAGAAUAAAAGAUGUCGAUCAAAUCAUUGAUAA